UUGGGAAUAUUGCACAAUGGACGAAAGUCUGAUGCAGCGACGCUGCGUGAAGGAUGAAGGUUUUCGGAUCGUAAACUUCUUUUGGCGGGGAGUAAUCAUGAAAGUACCCGCAGAAUAAGCACCGGCUAACUACGUGCCAGCAGCCGCGGUAAUACGUAGGGUGCGAGCGUUAUUCGGAAUUACUGGGCGUAAAGCGUGUGUAGGUGGUUUUGUGCGUCUUCGAUUAAAGACCUGGGCUCAACCCAGGGAAUGUUGGAGAAACGGCAUUACUAGAGGUUUGCAGGGGCAGAUGGAAUUCCAGGUGUAGCAGUGAAAUGCGUAGAUAUCUGGAAGAACACCGAUGGCGAAAGCAGUCUGCUGGGCAAAAUCUGACACUGAGACACGAAAGCGUGGGGAGCGAACGGG
rnacentral:rRNA from 1 species